GACUAGCUGUGAUCUCUUCCAUGAUCACAAAUUAGAAGAAUGGUGAUUAUAUGUGUGUGGAAAAUAACAUCCAUGCCAUCCCACAUUUUGCCAUUGCAAACUUCUGCCAUGGGAAAGAUGAAACAGAAAACACUUGCUUCAAAUAUAUCGUGAUACAUAAUGA